UAUUGACUUGUAUCACAGGUGACCUGGCUGGUUUAGAAACAUUUUAUUCUCUAUUAAUCAUCCAUCCACAUGGAGGUGCUGUGAUGCGUUUACGGGCUCACCAAUGACUGACACAAACAGAAGACGACAAUACGGACGUAAAACUGGGAGAGGGUUUGUUUUGUUUGUGGCUAGUGGCUACCAUUUUUCCUCGUGGACGAAGCCAUACCACAGGCAAAAGGGGUUAGUUAUUAGUAUAUUUGGCCAUACUAGCUUAAUUACCCACCUUUCAGUCGUCUGAAAAUGUCUACAUUACAGAUGUUGCGCGUGUUCUUAAAUGAGCGUUUAACAGCGGCUGCUGUGGAGAUUUUCGGGGCAGUUGAGAAAACGGUAACCGAGUACCAGGAGGAGAAUGAUAAUCUGCGGAGACUGCUGCGGAUAACCCCGGACAUAAACCAAUGUAGAAAAGGACUGCCUGUUACGCAAAUGCAGUAAACCAAGAGUCCCUUCAGUUAUCUGUUGCUGUCACUGAAGACAAGGUUCCCCCUAAGCAGCAGCACUCUGAGCAGGAGUGGAGAACCAGUCUACAGCAGGAGGACCGAGAACCCACACAGAUUAAAGAGGAACAGGAGGAACUCUGGACCUGUCAGGAGGAAGAUUUCAGUGUGUUCAAAUUACCUCCUUGUGUGAAAAGUAAAUGUGAUCAGGAAAACCCACAGUCCUUUUCUCUUCCCCAAACCCAGACAGUGGAGAACAGAGACAGUAACUCUAAAUCAGUGGACCUCCCACAUUUUGUCACCGUUACCCAUCUAGAGGGUCUCGACAUUCCCUGUGACCCUCCAGAUAAUCAAAACUAUAGCCACAGCUCAUCUGUAAGCAGUGACCUAGUAGGACUUAGGCUGCUGUCACCAUUCCAUCACAGCCCACCACUGGAUCCCAACCCAUCAAUGGGGGAACACUGUCCCAAGCCCAGCACCAUGUCUAGAAAAACUCACCGCUGCUGUGACUGUGGUGAAACGUUUGCUCUGACAGCUGACCUGCAGGAGCAUGUGACUCUCACCAAGAGACCCAGCGAAUGCCACCUCUGCAAAAAACGCUACAACUCCACCUGUAAAUUGAAGGCCCAUGUCAGAUUCUGUCAUGUGGAGAGACCCUGUAUCUGCCCCUUUUGUGGAAAGACCUUCAAACUCAAAGGACAUCUGUCCAGACAUAUGAGGAUUCACACAGGCGAGAAACCAUUUGGCUGUGGUGACUGUGGGAAGAGCUUCAUUCAGAAGGGGGACUUAAUGAGACACAUUCUUACUCACACAGGAGAGAAACCAUUUAGCUGUAAAGACUGUGGGAAAAGCUUCAAUCGGAAGGGGAACCUAACUGAACACAUACGGACUUGCACAUACUGAGUAGCACAGGAAAGAAAGUUCCCGAAGAAACAAAGUAAUUAGGACAAAGACAUCUUGUCAGAUGGACAACACUCUUUGGAAAAGCAAAGCAACUCUGGCUCAUUCAUUCUGUGGGUUUCAGAUAAAUCAAUGUCAUGAAUUUACUUUUGCAAAACAUAUGUAAAGGUUUGAUUUGAUCCAACAAUAGAGAGUAAUUAAAUCCAUGGCCUGCUUUUCAAAGUCUCUUGAUGUAUUCACGUCAUUAGACAGGAAUUCCUUGUAGUUUGUUUUGGAAUGUCUCGAAUAGUCCAAGAAAUUGUCCUUGCAUUCGUCAGAUCAUUUUUCAAACCUAUAAAACUGAUUUAUGGUCAAAUGUGGUUCCCCUCAUGGUUAUGAGUAGGAUUUGUGGAGCCAGUGGAGGGUAAACCGAUCCUGGGAGGGCAGCACUUACCAUGGGAGGGCAGCAGGCAAUGAGUUGGAAUAAUGAAAAACUAUUUAUUGCUUAAGAGAAUCAUUUUUAUUUUCUCGAAAUAAAAUGCAUUGAAACAUUGACAAACACAUUAGUCCUUCACAAAGUCACAGAACCUCAAGGAAUUACGUAUUAAAACAAGCUGCCGUAAUUUGAACUCCACAAUGUCAAAAUGCCCAACCCCAUUUCAACAAAAAUAUUGACAUUACAAGGGGGUGUCCAUUUUAAAAUAAAUGACAGAACUUCACAAAGAGGGGUAAGAUUCCACAUCUUUCAGUACUAGUGGUUCCCAGACAUGCUCCAUUGGGUGCGAGUUCUGUAACUUUGCAUGAUAUUGUCAUUUGCUACAGUGUAAUUUCUACACCAGCUCGAUGUGAAUGUAAAAAAUACAAAAUGUACCAAGCGUGUUCAUGGAAGCGCUGGCACUGAACACAGUCUAUUCACUUCAUAUCCCCUGAUAACUAUUGAAAAGAUCUUUAAGAAAUGCAGGCAAAACAGACAAAACAUCUACAAGUAUAGUGCCCACAGAAGUUCAACUGUCACAUCUUGGGGGAAUUUAAAUAAACCAUUACAUCUACAACCAUUAA